UCGAAGCAUUGCCGGGGAAAAGGGAGCGGAUAGGCCGAGUGUGGCUGAGAUUACACGGCCCUGAACUUGAUCUGGAUAAUACCAGCGAAAGGAUCAUGCUCCCCGUCCCCG
rnacentral:ncRNA from 14 species